rnacentral:rRNA from 1 species
AACGAACGCUGGCGGCAGGCUUAACACAUGCAAGUCGAGCGCCCCGAAAGGGGAGCGGCAGACGGGUGAGUAACGCGUGGGAAUGUGCCCUUUGGUCUGGAAUAACUCAGGGAAACUUGAGCUAAUACCGGAUAAGCCCUUCGGGGGAAAGAUUUAUUGCCAUUGGAGCAGCCCGCGUCAGAUUAGCUAGUUGGUGAGGUAAAAGCUCACCAAGGCGAUGAUCUGUAGCUGGUCUGAGAGGACGACCAGCCACACUGGGACUGAGACACGGCCCAGACACCUACGGGAGGCAGCGGUGGGGAAUAUUGGACAAUGGGGGCAACCCUGAUCCAGCCAUGCCGCGUGAGUGAUGAAGGCCUUAGGGUUGUAAAGCUCUUUUACUCGGGAAGAUAAUGACUGUACCGAGAGAAUAAGCCCCGGCUAACUUCGUGCCAGCCGCCGCGGUAA